rnacentral:lncRNA from 1 species
UUUGCCAGUAAGCUUUACUUUGUUAUUCUCAAAUCUUCCUUAAGAACUACUCUUUGUUGUCCGGAAGAUUCUUUUUUUUCUUCUAAGGGACUUUAAAAAAUAUAUACCAAGUGUUUUUCAUUGGCGAUAUUGCUUACUUUUCACAUAAUGUUAAUAGUUUACGGAUCUAAACAGAAGCCCAUGUGCAUGUAUUUCCCUAUAUAAUAUUUGCCUAUUCAUCAUAACAUUCUUUAAUUUUCAGAUAAUAGACUGUUGACAGCAACCGAUUCCAUUCAGUUGUGGGCUCCUCCAGGAGAUGAUAUUCUGGAAGAGGAGGAAGAAAUUGAUAAUAAAAUUCCUCCUGUUUUAAAUGAUUGGAAGUGCAUCUGGCAGUGCAAAACCUCAGUAUCUGUACAUUUGAUGGAAUGGUCUCCUGAUGGUGAAUAUUUUGCUACUGCUGGAAAGGAUGAUUGUCUUUUGAAAGUAUGGUAUCCUAUGACUGGUUGGAAGUCUUCAAUUAUACCUCAGGAUCAUCAUGAAGUGAAAAGGAGACAGUCCUCUACUCAAUUUUCCUUUGUUUACUUGGCACAUCCCCGAGCUGUGACAGGUUUUUCAUGGCGUAAAACUAGCAAGUAUAUGCCCAGGUUAGAUGAAUGAAUCAUACAACUUUAGUUUUUAUCCUUUUAUGUUUAUAAAAGUAAUGAAAGUAAAGU